rnacentral:tRNA from 1 species
GGGCGUAUAGCUCAGCGGUAGAGCACUCGGCUUACAACCGAGCGGUCGGGGGUUCGAUCCCCUCUGCGCCCA